rnacentral:rRNA from 1 species
GGUCCAGCCUGCCCAGUGACAAAGUUCAACGGCCGCGGUACUCUGACCGCGCGAAGGUAGCAUAAUCACUUGUUCUUUAAAUGGGGACUAGUAUCAACGGCAUCACGAGGGUCGUACUGUCUCCUCUCUCCAAUCAAUGAAACUGAUCUCUCCGUGAAGAAGCGGAGAUUUAACUAUAAGACGAGAAGACCCCAUGGAGCUUUAAACCUUAUUACAAUCCUUAUCUUUCAACACCCACAAAAUAAUUAAGGCUCUGUAAAUCGGCUUUAGGUUGGGGUGACCGCGGAGCAUAAAAAAACCUCCACGAUGAAUGGAGUCCCACCUCCUUAUCUAAGAGCUACAACUCUAAGAAUCAGAAUACUGACAUUCAAUGAUCCGACACUCGAUCAACGAACCAAGUUACCCUGGGGAUAACAGCGCAAUCUACUUCGAGAGCCCGUAUCAACAAGUAGGUUUACGACCUCGAUGUUGGAUCAGGGUAUCCCAGUGGUGCAGCAGCUACUAACGGUUCGUUUGUUCAACGAUUAAAACCCU